rnacentral:lncRNA from 1 species
GGCUGGGGACCGGAUGUGAGGUUCAGUGUCCCGAAGGGUUCCCUGGUGGGCUGUGUGGGUCACCCUCUCCCACGGUGUCCGCCGACCCUAGGGUGUCUGUCUCUCUGCGGAUAGGAGGGCGCCAUGGAGGCGCCGCCGCCUGCGCCUCGCAGCCGCCUUUGUGGAGCCUGGGGUCCUUUCCCCCGAGUCUUUGCUGCGGGUGCUGUGGCUGCGGAUUCCCAAAGCUUUGUGGAGGAUCCGGAGCUGCGUUCUUAUGUCUCAGACCCCGGUUCCUCGGAAUCCGGAUGGGACCGCCUCCGGCAGCUGUUUGUCAAAGAGUAAAAAUACCUCGGUGAACAGCGGAAAAUCUCAAAGGAAAUGGACUACAUCUGCAGGGCAGCACUUUCAGCCGGCAUCAUUGGCUGGGCAUAUGGAGGGAUACCUGCCUUUAUUUAUGCUAAAAGACGCUACAUUGAGCAGAGUCAAGCAGAGAUUUAUCACAACCGAUUCGAUGCCGUGCAAAGUGCGCAUCGUGCUGCCACAAGGGGCUUCAUUCGGUAUGGCUGGCGCUGGAGUUGGAGAACCGCAGUCUUCGUGACCAUUUUCAACACAGUGAACACUGGACUAACUGUGUAUCGAAAUAAAGAUGCCUUGAGCCAUUUUGCCAUUGCUGGAGCUGUCACAGGAGGCCUUUUCAGAAUAAACUUAGGUCUUCGAGGCCUGGUGGCUGGCGGUAUAAUUGGAGCUUUGUUGGG